GCAUUAGGUAGACGGCGGGGAAACGGCCCACCGUGCCGACGAUGCGUAGGGGUUCUGAGAGGAAGGCCCCCCACACUGGUACUGAGACACGGACCAGACUCCUACGGGAGGCAGCAGUGAGGAAUAUUGGUCAAUGGCCGAGAGGCUGAACCAGCCAAGUCGCGUGAGGGAAGAAUGUCCUAAGGAUUGUAAACCUCUUUUGUCGGGGAGCAAAAAGGCUCUGCGGAGUCGUAUUGAGAGUACCCGAAGAAAAAGCAUCGGCUAACUCCGUGCCAGCAGCCGCGGUAAUACGGAGGAUGCGAGCGUUAUCCGGAUUUAUUGGGUUUAAAGGGUGCGCAGGCGGCGUGUCAAGCAAGCGGUAAAAUAGCGGGGCUCAACCCCGUCGAGCCGUUUGAACUGGCGCGCUUGAGUUCAGGCGAGGUAGGCGGAAUUCGUGGUGUAGCGGUGAAAUGCAUAGAUAUCACGAAGAACUCCGAUUGCGAAGGCAGCUUACCAGUCUGCGACUGACGCUCAGGCACGAAAGUGUGGGUAUCGAACAGGAUUAGAUACCCUGGUAGUCCACACAGUAAACGAUGAGCGCUAGGUGUCCGGGUCGCAUGAG
rnacentral:rRNA from 1 species